AGUAGAAUUAAGACAUCCAGGCUAAAUGACUGAGCUGAGCUCAAUGAAGCCAAAACAAGUGCGCCCAGGCUUAAUUGGUUGCACAAAGACCAAGCCAGGAUGAUUAGACACGGAUUCAUCAAGCCAGGUGAAACCAAUCCUGGAUAGGUGCGCGCUCACGGAUCACUCAACUAGACCCCGCCACCGAUCACAGAUUCACCGAUUCACCAUGGCAACUAGCGGCGUUCUUUUCCCUGUCAGAGGCACAAAUCCAUACGAGGAGGUAAAAGACAUAAUUAAGAAGAAAGGCAACACCGCCACAGUGAUAAAGCAAAGAGAAAAAGCGUGGCAAAGUAUUGCAGACCGCCCGAAUGCAUAAGUAGUGCACAAUUACACACUCACCGCUCUGCUGAAACAUCACAAUUACAAUUAAAAUAUUUAAUUCACAUCUCCAAAAACGCAAUUGUACUCUGAUAAUAAAACAGUUCAUUUUUUUAUUGAAAUGGACUUCAAAUAUGAGUAAAAUUGUGUAAAGUAACUCCAUCACACUGGAUAAGGCUUCAAUAAAUUAUAAUGAAAGCUUACAUUAUUACUACGCUCAUUAUGUACUCUGCUUCUUAUGUUGUCCACCGUUGACUUUUUUCUGCUUUUAUUAAUGUAAAGCUGCUUUGAAACAAUUGUGAAAAGCGCUUUAUAAAUAAAAUUUAAUUGAAUAAAUAGAUGAGCUAUUAAUAAUAAUCAAUUUAAUUUAUAAAGCGCCUUUCAAAGGAUCCAAGGCCACUUGCUCAUUGCACUGCAAAAAAUGACUUUCUUCGUGUUUUUGUCUUGCUUUCAGUAAAAAUAUAAAAAAAUUCUUAAAUUAAGAUGUAUUAAACAUUUACUUGAAAUAUACUUUUUCAUAAACAAUUAUUUUAAAACAAAUUUUCAUAUUCCAUUGGCUGAUUUUUUCCCUUAUUUUUACUAGGUCAUUUUGCUCAUCAAGAAAAUGCAUCUUAAUUUAAGAAUUUUUUGAUAUUUUUACUGAAAAAAGGACAAAAAUAAAAAGUAAGUCAUUUUUUGCAGUGUGACUCCAUUGAAUGUUCUUGUGUGAUAAAGAGAGUCUCUCUUUUUGUGUGUGGUGUGUGUGAUGUAGAUUAAAUAUGACCGGGCCAAAAUGGACAUGGCAGCAGGUCAAAAUCCAAUACAAGAACAUUCUGCAGAAUGCAGUGAAAAAGAAUACCCAGAGACAAGGCACGGGUGGUGGGUCACCAAAAGCUGACCUCACCCCAGCAGAGGCCAGCUUUGGAGCUAAAUGGCAGGCCUGUUGGAGGGAAUCCCUGGGGGAAAAGAGACAAGCAUAGGUCCCUCCCAAGAUGCCACCCGCUUCAUACAAGUGUCUGGCAGCACUGUGUUACUGUUAGAGCCACCAGCAUGAGCAGCAGACAAUGCUGAUCCAGUGAGUACUCCAUCAAAGGCAUACUGUAGGCCUGGCAUGUCUUGUCUACUAGCUUCAAUAUGAAUCAGAUUAAAUGUGAUAGGGUCAAGGCCCCAUUUCAUCAGCACAUAACGGCGAUGAUGAUUAGGAGACCAUCUCUCUGGAUUCCAGAAGGCAUAAGGACCCAGUGUCAUUGGUGCACUGGACUGCACACACAUAAGGAUAAAAGCCCCCUCAGGUGCCCAUAAGGCAGAUUUUGUAAAUAUGAAAUCUUUUCACAGCAUUAAUGUUCAGGUGAACAUAACGUUUUGAUCUUUUCCAUUGAACACUGGCAAAAUGGCCUGGCUCAGUCCAUGACUGCAGAAUCUUUCAGACCUCUGAAAUCUAUCAGCGCCUAUCACAAGGUGAAGUUUUUGGUGUGUUGUUGGGAGACAGGGGGUAUGGCUGCCAGCCUUUUUUCCUGACACCUUUCACAGACCCCCAGGAAGCACAACAGGCCUACAAUUAUGCCCAUGCCAGGACAAGGCCCAGAGUUGAAAUGACCUUUGGCCUCCUGAAGGCACGCUCUCACUGCCUUCACAAAUUUAGGGUCAGCCCUGUGAGGGCAUGUGACUUUACUGUGGCUUGUGCUGUCCUCCACAAUGUGGCCUGCCUGAGGAAGGAGAGGGCAUUUGUCCUGCAUUUAUUUCAGUGUGCAGACAUGCAGGGUGUGUUAUAUACAGACCUUUGAAUGUGUAUUUAUCCUUUGGUUGUGUGACUUCAGUUUGGAAAGGAGCUGAUGGUUUACCUGCUUUGUUUUGUCCUUAUUCAAUAAAUAAACAUAAUGUUACACUUUGUGCUUUUAUAUUUAUAUGGAAUGUGUAUUUUAUACAACAGAGUAUAAGGGCCACACAGAGGAAAGGAGAAAGUCAUACAUUUGACGCUGGUUCUUUCUGUGGAAAGAUGCAUAUUGUUUAUACAGUCCUGAUACUUAUAACAAUUUGAUGCUGACCUGACCUGCCAAAAGAUUAAGUAUGUCCUUGUUUCUGAAACCAUGCUGAAGUACAAUUCCACGAAAUGCCCCACAACUGUUAUUGUAACAACUGUCCUCCUCUAAAACAACAAGUUACAAUAUUACGACUUCAUUCUCUGUCUGUUUUUUUUCCUCUGUGGCCCUAAUGUUCUAUCAUUUUAUAUAUAGCCUUAUAGUCUUUAGGAAACUGUAAAUUAUCUAAUGAUAGCAACAUCAUCUAAAAAUCAUAAUUUAUCCAAAAUUAUUGAAAUUAAUAAUCACAAACAUUAAAAAAAUGACAGUGGGUCUAGUUAUAUGUGAUAACAAUGUAUAUUGGGCAGUGAAAUAACUAUUGGUUUCUGUUUGUGGUGACUGCUGACUGACAUAAGGGAUGAGAUUAAAUAGAUCCUGGAAUUUAGCCUGGUCUGGAGCAGGCUAGCUCAACAGAAUAGAUCUCCAUGGUAAUUUAUACCAUAACAUAUCCUCCUGCCCCCUAUCCAGCUUUAGUGCAACCGGAUCACGGAUCAGUUGAGCCAGGAUCACCAAGAUAUCCCGGCUUAAUCCCUUAUCCUAGU